rnacentral:rRNA from 1 species
CCUACGGGAGGCAGCAGUGAGGAAUAUUGGUCAAUGGACGAGAGUCUGAACCAGCCAAGUAGCGUGAAGGAUGACUGCCCUAUGGGUUGUAAACUUCUUUUAUAAAGGAAUAAAACGAGGCACGUGUGCCCUUUUGCAUGUACUUUAUGAAUAAGGAUCGGCUAACUCCGUGCCAGCAGCCGCGGUAAUACGGAGGAUCCGAGCGUUAUCCGGAUUUAUUGGGUGUAAAGGGAGCGUAGAUGGGUUGUUAAGUCAGUUGUGAAAGUUUGCGGCUCAACCGUAAAAUUGCAAUUGAUACUGGCAGUCUUGAGUACAGUUGAGGUAGGCGGAAUUCGUGGUGUAGCGGUGAAAUGCUUAGAUAUCACGAAGAACCCCGAUUGCGAAGGCAGCUUACUAAACUGUGACUGACAUUGAUGCUCGAAAGUGUGGGUAUCAAACAGGAUUAGAUACCCCUGUAGUC